ensembl:lncRNA
AAACAUUCAUCACUUCUGCUGGAGCAUAGCUCAUGGUACACAUUAGGAAAUUUCCAGUAGCUGCAAGAACAAUACAAACAGAAAUCAGUAAAGGUCUCUGUGUUACAAGUGCAUCUGAAGGACGCUCUGUGAGGCAACCCCCCAGGAGCUGCCAAAGCAGGUUUCUGUCAGAAGAUGAAAGUAAGCUUCUUCUCUGAAAAUGAACUGCUUUGUAGGAAAAAGGAAGCAAAAACAUUUUUCUUCCCAUCAGCUCAUUUCCUUCCUAAACUAACUCCAUCAUUUCCUAAGCCUACCUAGCACCUUUCUAUUUAAUAAGUUUAUCUGCAAAGUGCUUAAUUCUGCUGCUUCUCCAAUUCUCGGAGGUAGGCAAUCUAAGACUAUUUGCAAAUACCCUUUGAACUGAAGUGAUGAGAGACUGCAAUUAAUCAAAAGGUUGAAUCUAUAGAAAAGCCCUAUUAAAAUCUUGGGAACUGCUGAGGAGGUAAUGGCUAACUGUUCCCAAGGGGAUGAAAAAUAAUAAAGAAACAAAAACUAUUUAGGAAUCCUAUUAACAAAAUGUAUCAGACUGUAUAUGAAACUGUAUAAAAAGAUUUCAAAGCCAAAUGAGGCUUUGAGGAAAAAAAAAAACUUGGUAUUGUUUUGGUUUCUUUGUAUAAAUGCAUAGUCAGGCAUUCAUACUUCAACUGAAUGUGUGUCUUAUUUUCUGCCUGACCUCCAUCUCAUUCAGAAAGAUUGUCCCCAUAAAGUCAUUCUCCUGCCUUUCAGCAGGAUAGUUUUUAUCCUACUCUGUCAGUACCUUGAGAAAAGUACCCCUAAGGAAAUCAAUGAAAGAAAGGGCAACUGCUUGUAUUUUGGAGCACAGGGCUUAAAAUAUCUCCUCCGCCACUGUUUGCCAAUGCCACCAGCGAAGCAAGGAUAACAGCAGCUUCUUCCUGCCUUGUUCAGUGUGCAGGAUUGUUAUUUAGAAUUCAGUAUCUGCAGCAGCAGGGUGCUGACAUCCUCUGUCAUUUUCAGAUGUUGCAUGGAACAUAAGGAGCAGCCAGUGUGUUGGGGGAGGGCUAGGAGGGGGUGUGGUGUCAUGAGCCAUUGGGUUGGAGGGAGUCACGAAGAAACCUGUCCCAAGAAUGAGGAGCAACAAAGAGCUGGACAGAGGUACUAUUUCAACUCCUGCCUCCCACUUUUGAAAAGAGAGAAAGUAAGGAUUUAAGGACUUCCUAAACCACAUACGAGACAAAACAUACUGUGAAAAUGAAUCAUGUUUUCUUCUACCUCAUUAGACAAGGAGAUUUUCUUGGAAAGAAAUUCUUGAAAAUAUCAUUGCAGGAUAAUUGCUCUCAUGCACAGCUUUCUCUUUCAGUUGUCCAAAAUCCUGUGCAGGCUCUAUACCACUGUCUUGUUCAAAACUGUAUUUUCUUCUAACCUUAUUGUAACUUCUGCUUUUUACUUUCUAGGCUGUAACUGAAGUCUGAAAGCACUCAGCUGUUAUGGUGGGAUCUGUGUUAAACACACAAAAAAGAAAUCACUGCGAUCUCUCAAGACAGACUGAUUGAUAUCUUAGACUACCUGACAAAUAACACGUUGUCUCAAAGCAAGGCCUUUAAGAUCUUCUACUGAUAAUACUCAUGAUAAUUAAAGGCCAUGGCCACUGUGAUUAGCCUAGAUUCUUUCACACACAAAAAAAUAAAGCCAACUUCUACUGGCUUUUGGUCAGUUAGUACCUCAGUAAGCCAUAGUUCCAAAAGCCUUGUGUCAUGGUGGAAGCUGUCACCUCCCUCUGGGUGACAAUGAAGCACAGGCACAGUUCUACAUGACCUGAUUUGAUAUUACCAGGUGGUAACACACUAACAAAAUCCACAGGACAACUUGAUCUCACAGAUGCAUCUCUGCCUUGAUGGUAUAUAAAUUUAAAGUGAAGGGCAGCACUUCUUAAUUACUUACAUUGUUUAUUUUAAUGUAGCUUACAGCUUUCAUUUUUAAACCAGAAAUGGAAGGACAUAGUUUCUCUCAAGACAGCAGGUUUGUGUUUUUAAAAGAUUUUAAAUUAAUACAUGUAUUUACUCACUGUAGCAGAAAUGCUAAGUAAGUCACAGUCUGAACCAGUGACUGAGCACCCAGUGGGAAGGCAGGGCCAACACAGGGGAGCUCAGGUGCAUGCAAUGUACCUGAGUGAGCAGAAGGGGUGGAGCCAGGAUCCACCCCUUCCCAAACCUCAUUUAAGGGUUGGCAGUGGAGGUAGGGAUUUUUUGCUGGAGAUCCCUGCCUCCCAGAGGUCUUCUGAAGGUCUUCCUGAGAGAGUGGGCUCCAUUAUGUUCAGGAGCAGAAUGAAAAUGAAAUCAUCAUUAGUCGGAUUGAUUCGGUGUCUGAAUACACAUUGUACCAUGAGGAUCCUCUUACCCUGAGCCAAAGUCUGUCAAAGUCAAUUCCAACAGCUGAUGAGGCCCUUCAGGAUAGGUCAGUUUUUUCCUUGAAAUCCCAUCAUGGCAACUUCUGCAUUUGAUGAGUAUUACCAGCACAGAUAGACGCACCAUGGAGGGAAUCCCAGCCACACAGAAAAAAUAGUCAGCAAAAACACCAGUACAGACUGAGGAACCAGGCAACUGGGAAUGAGCACUGUGGAUUUGGAGAGGACCUCCAGCCCUUUGAUGUUACAAAUGUCCAUGCCAAAACAAUUUUUGUAGUGAUAUUAAGCCCCUUGUGAACGCAGCUGUGUGGGGUUAUCUUCAUGGCUCUCCUGGAAAGCUAUUCUGGAACCUCAGUCCCAGAACUUAGACUUUGGAAUAUCCAAGUGGAACUCAUUUCUGAGUGAUUACACCAAGGCAAGGUUUAAUCUCUGGGAGAUGUUUCAGAGCUGAAAAACAGAAAAGCAGAAUCUCCAUGACCAGAUUUCAGUUUUGUCUACAAAACACUCACUACCUUCUCUCAGCAUUCAGAAGCACAGUGAGUUAAACUGCUGUAUGCUUGAGCUGGUGGGAUCACCAUCGUCUGCAAUAAAGUACCCAGGUUCCAACUGAAAAACAGAAGACCAGAGCUUGGAGUUAGCAGCCUUUUGCUGUACAAAUAAUAAAGUCCCCAGAAGAACAUUGACUGCUCUUAACUGAAGUUCCUAAACCUGAAUUUUCAGAGGAAUUGGAUUUUAUUCAGCUUAUACAACCCUCUGUGAUUUUUAAGGAGUUG